CAGAGGUGGAAAUGGACUUGGCUUGUUCUAGUGACAGAAGGAAGACCAGAGAGGCUGGAGACUACGAGGAAGGGGAAGGAUGGAAAUUGCCGAGUUAGAGAGGGACCAGUCUGUUAGGCAGGGACCAGUCUGUGCAAGUCUUACAGGCCACAGGAAGUGGGGUGGAUUUUAUCCUAAGUGCAGGGGCAGUCAUUGGGGGUGGGCUUUGAUUUAGAUCUAUAGAAGCUCAACCUGCAGGAGCAGCAGGGCGUGCAGAGAGGAGGCUGGUGCAGGCAUGCAGGCAAGAGGUGAUUGAGACUCAGGCCAGGGUUUAGCAGGGCACAGUGGAAGGAUCGAGGGUGUACUUCAAAGGCAGAUAUGCCAGAAAUGCUGUAUGACAGCAGGGGUAUACAUGGGGGUGGGGGCCAGAUGAGGGAAGAGAGGAAUCGAGGACAGCUCCUAGAUUUUGGGAAAAUGGAGGAUCCAUGCCUGAGAUGGGGAGGCGGGAGAGGAGCAGGUUGGACAGGGGCUGGGUAGUGGGAGCAAGAGCUCAGUGUGUGGGCCGCGCUAAGUUUGCAACAUCUAUUAGUCAUCCAGUGGCUAUGCCAAGUAAUGAUGUGUCUGUGGGGCUGCCAGCUGGGCGGAGAUGGGCCUCCACUCCACUUUGCACUCCUAGCAUCCUGGUCAGGAGCAGUCUAGGCACAGGACAAAGAUAUGUAAUGAGACUUCACUCCCCACUGUCAAAACUUGCAACGAUGCAUCUUGCAACUGAAGAUGGGAAACAGGACCUAGAAGGUGGUAAGUGUAGAAUUGGAGAUGUACAUCGUUGGGGUCAGGGAGUCAGGGAAGACUGCCGGGAGGAGGUGAGUCUUAGCGGAUGAGUAGGAGUUGGCCAGGGAGGAAGGUACACAGAAGGGCUUCCAGGCCCAGGAAACAGCAGAAGCACAGAAGUGAGAAUGGGUGGGUGAGUUGGUGGGGGAGCUCCAGGUGCAGAGGAUGGUAGCAAAACAAACUGGAGCAUCCAAGGUCCAAGUCCUCCAAGAUCUUGACUUGCAGAUUGAUUAAGGAGUUUGUUCACCUAAUCUGCUUUGGGCAGAGUGGGGUGAGUCCUAGAGACCCCUCUAGGUCUCUCACUCUCAGUAGCCCCAGAAGGCCUGGAGAGCUGCUUCUUGGUGCCAAGCAGGCAGCGAUUCCAUCAGAUCUAGAUCUGGGAAAGGCAUCUCUGCUCAGGGCCUGCAUCAGGGCAGUGGCUGGCCAUAGGAUCCUGAGAAGUAGACAGAUUCAAGGAGAUUCUCAGGAGGCCAGACAGGAGACUAUAGUGACAAAUUAGAGAAGGGGAGAGAAUGAAGGAGCAGUUAGGGAAAAGAAACCUGGAGCUCACCACUCACUGAGAGGAGAACCUCACCAGCUCUGAUAUGCUCUGGUUCCAGGUUCUGUUGGGGCUGAUCCAAGAAGGUAGCCUAGAAGUGCACAGAGAUGGGAGCCUUGCUUUGCAAAAGGAUCCUGGUUGCUGGCCCACACCAUGGUAAUGAGAUUUGAGCUCUAUGUGCCCAGGGCUGGGAGGAGGGUCCUAUCACUUCGAAAGCAAAGAGAGGGUCUAGAGAGGGGCAUGUUGAGAUAGGAGUGCUGCCUUGAGACACCUGGCUUUCCCCACUCUGGGUGGGCUCUCAGGUGCGUGGGUUUCCCCUGCCAGGCAGCACUGAAACCUCUGUGCCCUCCCGGGCUGGGAGAGGUUUCACCCUACAUGUGGAACCAUCCUGAAGGAGCAUCUGGAUGGGAUGGGGUACAGGGAAGGGAGCUGCCAAGAGUGCUGGCCAGGGACCUGGGUCUACGAGCCUGUUAGGGGGUGGGGUUGGGUGCAGGGUACUUGAUCCAGAGUGG
ensembl:lncRNA